GACAGAGGUGCCGAGCGUUAGGCGGAAUCACUGGGCUUAAAGCGUGUGUAGGCGGGCCGUUAAGUGUCUUGUGAAAUCCCCCCGGCUCAACCGGGGAAUUGCUGGGCAUACUGGCGGUCUUGAGCAAUCUAGGGGCAGAUGGAACAAGUGGUGGAGCGGUGAAAAUGCGUAGAUAUCACUUGGAACGCCAAAGGUGAAGACAGUCUGCUGGGGAUUUGCUGACGCUGAGACACGAAAGCCAGGGGAGCGAACGGG
rnacentral:rRNA from 1 species